rnacentral:rRNA from 1 species
UACGGAGGGUGCAAGCGUUAUCCGGAUUUACUGGGUUUAAAGGGUGUGUAGGCGGACUUUUAAGUCAGCGGUGAAAUCUCCGGGCUCAACCCGGAAACUGCCAUUGGUACUAUUGGUCUUGAAUGUUGUUGAGGUGGGCGGAACGGGUCAUGUAGCGGUGAAAUGCAUAGAUAUGACCCGGAACACCGAUUGCGAAGGCAGCCCACUAAGCAAUGAUUGACGCUGAGGCACGAAAGCGUGGGGAUCAAACAGG